rnacentral:rRNA from 1 species
CCGGCGCACGGUGGAGUAACGCGUAUGCAACUUACCUAUCAGAGGGGGAUAACCCGGCGAAAGUCGGACUAAUACCGCAUAAAGCAGGGAUCCCGCAUGGGAAUAUUUGCUAAAGAUUCAUCGCUGAUAGAUAGGCAUGCGUUCCAUUAGGCAGUUGGCGGGGUAACGGCCCACCAAACCGACGAUGGAUAGGGGUUCUGAGAGGAAGGUCCCCCACAUUGGUACUGAGACACGGACCAA